rnacentral:rRNA from 1 species
AGUGAACGCUGGCGGUAGGCCUAACACAUGCAAGUCGAACGGCAGCACAGUAAGAGCUUGCUCUUACGGGUGGCGAGUGGCGGACGGGUGAGGAAUACAUCGGAAUCUACUUUUUCGUGGGGGAUAACGUAGGGAAACUUACGCUAAUACCGCAUACGACCUACGGGUGAAAGCAGGGGAUCUUCGGACCUUGCGCGAUUGAAUGAGCCGAUGUCGGAUUAGCUAGUUGGCGGGGUAAAGGCCCACCAAGGCGACGAUCCGUAGCUGGUCUGAGUGGAUGAUCAGCCACACUGGAACUGAGAAACGGUCCAGACUCCUACGGGAGGCAGCAGUGGGGAAUAUUGGACAAUGGGCGCAAGCCUGAUCCAGCCAUACCGCGUGGGUGAAGAAGGCCUUCGGGUUGUAAAGCCCUUUUGUUGGGAAAGAAAAGCAGCAGGUUAAUACCCCGCUGUUCUGACGGUACCCAAAGAAUAAGCACCGGCUAACUUCGUG